UUGCUCCAGCAGCACUUGAGAAAAAAAUGGGAGCAAUAUGAAAAUAUGGUACAAAGCUAUAUUAGAUUUCAACAAGAAAACGGGCCAGGGAAGAUCACGAUGGAAUUUCUAUUCCAGAAUGGCUGAAAUCUUGGAAGGAGACCCUUUGUUCAUCCCACCACUGACAUCAUCAUCACUGGGGAGUGUAAAAGUAAACACUCUCUCCGAGAUCUCCAAUACCCAGCAAUGUGCCACCCCUACAAAGAAGCAAG